rnacentral:rRNA from 1 species
CCCUUAGACGUUCUGGGCCGCACGCGCGCUACACUGACCAGUGCAACAAGCAUCCGUCCUUGGCCGACAGGCUCGGGCAAUCUUUGAACAUCGAUCGUGAUCGGGAUAGAUUCUUGUAAUUUUUGAUCUUAAACGAGGAAUUCCUAGUAAACGCAAGUCAUCAGCUUGCAUUGAUUACGUCCCUGCCCUUUGUACACACCGCCCGUCGCACCUACCGAUUGAAUGGUCCGGUGAAAUCUCCGGACUGGCGUGAGUCGGAGCAAUCUGACAAACACCGGAAAGUUGAUUAAACCUUACCAUUUAGAGGAAGGUGAANUCGUAACA